CGAUGAUCUCCCGCUUGCGGGGGUGAUUAGUGGCGAACGGGUGAGUAAUACGUGAGUAACCUGCCCUUGACUCUGGGAUAAGCCUGGGAAACCGGGUCUAAUACUGGAUACGACUUCUCAUCGCAUGGUGGGGGGUGGAAAGGGUUUGACUGGUUUUGGAUGGGCUCACGGCCUAUCAGCUUGUUGGUGGGGUAAUGGCUCACCAAGGCGACGACGGGUAGCCGGCCUGAGAGGGUGACCGGCCACACUGGGACUGAGACACGGCCCAGACUCCUACGGGAGGCAGCAGUGGGGAAUAUUGCACAAUGGGCGCAAGCCUGAUGCAGCGACGCCGCGUGAGGGAUGACGGCCUUCGGGUUGUAAACCUCUUUCAGCAGGGAAGAAGCCACAAGUGACGGUACCUGCAGAAGAAGCGCCGGCUAACUACGUGCCAGCAGCCGCGGUAAUACGUAGGGCGCAAGCGUUGUCCGGAAUUAUUGGGCGUAAAGAGCUCGUAGGCGGUUUGUCGCGUCUGCUGUGAAAGCCCGGGGCUCAACCCCGGGUCUGCAGUGGGUACGGGCAGACUAGAGUGCAGUAGGGGAGACUGGAAUUCCUGGUGUAGCGGUGAAAUGCGCAGAUAUCAGGAGGAACACCGAUGGCGAAGGCAGGUCUCUGGGCUGUUACUGACGCUGAGGAGCGAAAGCAUGGGGAGCGAACAGGAUUAGAUACCCUGGUAGUCCAUGCCGUAAACGUUGGGCACUAGGUGUGGGGGACAUUCCACGUUCUCCGCGCCGUAGCUAACGCAUUAAGUGCCCCGCCUGGGGAGUAC
rnacentral:rRNA from 1 species